AUUUAGUGGCCCGUUUAGGUGCUGCCGUUUUUCAGCCGGUUGACGUCACGCCGGCGGUGUUGGGUAGAUCCAGCAGUAUACGUGGCCACUAUCUGCGAAAUGCGUUGUGAACACAGUUGGCAGUAAAGAGAGAACGUUACACCACGAAAGCAGAGACCGCUCAUGAGGGGACCGUGAG